ACAUACCAGCAGGUUAUUAAACGAGUACAACGCGAACAAAACGCGCACGUUUCUUGUCCGAUCGUCCAAGGUGUAUAUAAUUUCAUCGUGAACGUGGGUGGCAUAAACGGUUAUAUCAUCAUGACAAUUAAAAUCAAACAAGUUGUUGAAAGAAAUUCUUCAGGAAGUCAAAGAAAAGAAACCGCACAGUAUGCACAGUCAUCACAAUCUUGAAGCGAUUAACAAAGUGCCGAUGAAAUCAUUAUUGAGUUUCUCUUCGUUGCAAAGCAAAAACGAAGAAAAAAAGCCAACGCUACAGAUGGGUAGUGAACAAUAAAUUAUAAAUAAGUCUAGUUUUGGUGGAUUCGGAGAAAUCUCAAGAAGUGAACCAAAAAUUAAGUUUAAUUUAAUCGCUGGUGGUCCAAAAGCAAAAGCAGAAAAAACAAGACGCAACACCAACACAAGAAGUGAAAUGAGUUAUGAUUGGCAUGACAUUCACGUAUUGUGUGCGUUUGUAUGUGUGCUGUGCGGCGCGCACGUUUCGAUUUCGAUUAAAUUUAGCAAUGCUCGGCUUGCAUCUGCUGGCCUGCACACGAAUACUUUCUACCUGGGAGCGCGUGCAUUGUGUGCAAUUAUUUACAAUCGUAAUUAAUUGUGUGGUGAGACAAUUAAAUUAGGAGCGGUGGAGUUUAUUAUUAUGCCUCAAUAAAACAGAUUCAUUGUCAUAAA